rnacentral:rRNA from 1 species
AUUGAACGCUGGCGGCAGGCCUAACACAUGCAAGUCGAACGAGUGGCGGACGGGUGAGUAAUGUCUGGGAACCUGCCUGCUUGAGGGGGAUAACUACUGGAACCGGUAGCUAAUACCGCAUACCAUCAGAUGUGCCCAGAUGGGAUUAGCUUGUUGUUGGGGUAACGGGUCACCAAGGCGACGAUCCCUAGCUGGGCUGAGAGGAUGGCCAGCCACACUGGAACUGAGGCACGGUCCAGACGGCCACGGGAGGCAGCAGUGGGGAAUAUUGGACAAUGGGCGCAAGGCGGAUGCAGCCAUGCCGGGUGUAUGAAGAAGGCCUUCGGGGUGUAAAGGACGUUCAGCGGGGAGGCGGUACCCGCAGAAGAAGCGCCGGCUAACUCCGUGCCAGCAGCCGCGGUAAUAC